CUGUGUAGUGCUACACCUAAUUUAUGGU
rnacentral:piRNA from 1 species